UACGUAGGGGGCAAGCGUUGUCCGGAAUCAUUGGGCGUAAAGAGCGUGUAGGCGGCUCGGUAAGUCUGCUGUGAAAGUCCAGGGCUCAACCCUGGGAUGCCGGUGGAUACUGUCGAGCUCGAGUCCGGAAGAGGCGAGUGGAAUUCCUGGUGUAGCGGUGAAAUGCGCAGAUAUCAGGAGGAACACCAAUGGCGAAGGCAGCUCGCUGGGACGUGAACUGACGCUGGAGACGCGAAAGCGUGGGGAGCAAACAGG
rnacentral:rRNA from 1 species